CCACAGCAGAAUGACUCGGCAAGGAGAAGGGCUUGUCGGGUCUAGCUGGGAGCGGAGGUGGGCCAGGCUGCUAGAGGGAGGCUUUGGGUGGUGCCCUUAAGAGUCUCCGUCAUGAGCUGUUUUGCACUGUGAGGUCACAGUCAAAACAUUGAGAGCCACGGCUACAACUUGCGCAAGUCAAACACGCUGUGAUUCAGGCCAGGGAGACGAGCAUGGGUAAAGAACACUGUACAAACUAGCUCAGGGCUUCUGGAACUGUGUGUGGCUGAAUCACCGGGGCAUCUUGGUGAACUGUAAAUUCUGAUUCAGCAAACUGGGAGGAGGGCGCUGGGAUCCAGCAUUUCCAUCAAGCUUCCCAUGGACCACACUCUGACUAUCAAGGCCUUAGAUGCAGACAAUCUCAAUACAGCUGCACACAAGAAUCACACAGAAAGCUUUAAAAAUGCCAAUGCCAGGCCAGGUGCAGUGGCUCACGCUUGUAAUCCCAGCACUUCGGGAGGCUGAGGCGGGCAGAUCACGAGGUCAGGAGUUCGAGACCAGCCUGGCCAACACAGUGAAACCCCGUCUCUACUAAAAAUACAAAAAUUAGCUGGGUGUGGUGGCAGGCACCUGUAAUCCCAGCUAC
rnacentral:antisense_RNA from 1 species